UGGGGAAUUUUGGACAAUGGGCGAAAGCCUGAUCCAGCAAUGCCGCGUGUGUGAAGAAGGCCUUCGGGUUGUAAAGCACUUUUGUCCGGAAAGAAAACGCCGUGGUUAAUACCCGUGGCGGAUGACGGUACCGGAAGAAUAAGCACCGGCUAACUACGUGCCAGCAGCCGCGGUAAUACGUAGGGUGCAAGCGUUAAUCGGAAUUACUGGGCGUAAAGCGUGCGCAGGCGGUCCGCUAAGACAGAUGUGAAAUCCCCGGGCUUAACCCGGGAACUGCAUUUGUGACUGGCGGGCUAGAGUAUGGCAGAGGGGGGUAGAAUUCCACGUGUAGCAGUGAAAUGCGUAGAGAUGUGGAGGAAUACCGAUGGCGAAGGCAGCCCCCUGGGCCAAUACUGACGCUCAUGCACGAAAGCGUGGGGAGCAAACAGG
rnacentral:rRNA from 1 species